rnacentral:misc_RNA from 1 species
GAUGAAGAACGUAGCGAAAUGCGAUAAGUAGUGUGAAUGGCAGAAUUCAGUGAAUCAUCGAAUCUUUGAACGCACAUUGCGCCUUCUAGUAUUCUGGGAGGCAUGCCUGUUUGAGCGUCAUUAAACCUCUCUCAAGUAUGAUUACUUGGAUGUGAAGGAAGAGUACCUUAAACUUAAGGAGUGUUCUCCUUUGAAAUUGAUUAGCAGAUGGUAAUGUUAUUAAAUCCCUGAUGUUGUAAGAAAUAACAGUGGUUUUGUAGACUAUUAUCUAGCUUUAAAUUAUAAUUUUUAUUAUGGUUGACCUCAAAUCAGGUAAGGAUACCCGCUGAACUUAAGCAUAUCAAUAAGCGGAGGA